UGAGAGGUUGACAGCCAAUCAAGCAUCACGUCAUAUGCAUGCCUCGCAAACGUUGAAUCGUCGGUAGUGUUUGUUUACACAUGUGAAAGCGGCCUUGCCUUCCUUUUAAAAGGACGGACAGGGCGUCCUCCAAUCAGCGACGAUCCUCGUCGAUCGCAGGUACCUACCUUUCCCGGCCAAAAAACAGGAGUGAUAAUCGAUCAAUCGAUCUUGCAAUCUCAACGCCCGUAACCUGUUUGCUUGCACCUCCAACACAGUGCCGGACCUGGUCACCACCCCCAAAUGCCCUUAAUAACUUGGUUAGCGAGCGGUUCGUCGGCUAACUCUGACUUACAUGUCGUUACUGGUUUCCGCCUGUUCGCGGGGACGAGGCUCGGCUCGGCUCGGCUCGGCUUCCACAGCUC